rnacentral:rRNA from 1 species
GAUUGGAUGAGCCCAUGUCGGAUUAGCUAGUUGGCGGGGUAAUGGCCCACCAAGGCGACGAUCCGUAGCUGGUCUGAGAGGAUGAUCAGCCACACUGGAACUGAGACACGGUCCAGACUCCUACGGGAGGCAGCAGUAGGGAAUAUUGGACAAUGGGCGCAAGCCUGAUCCAGCCAUGCCGCGUGAGUGAAGAAGGCCCUCGGGUUGUAAAGCUCUUUUGUCCGGAAAGAAAAGCGCCGGGUUAAUACCCUGGUGUCCUGACGGUACCGGAAGAAUAAGCACCGGCUAACUUCGUG